GAUGAACGCUGGCGGCGUGCCUAAUACAUGCAAGUCGAACGAAGGUCUAGCUUGCUAGACCUUAGUGGCGAACGGGUGAGUAAUACAUAAAUAAUCUGCCCAUAUGACUGGGAUAACUAUUGGAAACGAUAGCUAAUACCGGAUAGGUUAAUUGGAGGCAUCUCUGAUUAAUUAAAGUAGGAUUUCUACACAAAUGGAUGAGUUUAUGGCGCAUUAGUUAGUUGGUGGGGUAACGGCCUACCAAGACGAUGAUGCGUAGCCGACCUGAGAGGGUGACCGGCCACACUGGGACUGAGACACGGCCCAGACUCCUACGGGAGGCAGCAGUAGGGAAUUUUCGGCAAUGGGCGCAAGCCUGACCGAGCAACGCCGCGUGAGUGAUUAAGGCCUUCGGGUUGUAAAGCUCUGUUGUAAGGGAAGAACAUUCAGGAUAGGAAAUGAUCUUGAACUGACGGUACCUUACCAGAAAGCCACGGCUAACUACGUG
rnacentral:rRNA from 1 species